UACGAAGGGGGCUAGCGUUGUUCGGAAUUACUGGGCGUAAAGGGCGCGUAGGCGGUGUGUCAAGUCAGGCGUGAAAGCCCCGGGCUCAACCUGGGAACCGCGCUUGAGACUGGCACGCUCGAGUUCGGGAGAGGAUGGUGGAAUUCCCAGUGUAGAGGUGAAAUUCGUAGAUAUCGGGAAGAACACCGAUGGGCGAAGGCAGCCAUCUGGGACCGA
rnacentral:rRNA from 1 species